rnacentral:sRNA from 2 species
CGGGCUUUGCCUGCCAUCUCUUACCCAUGUCUUUUGAGUACCUUACGUUUCCUCGGCGGGUCCGCCCGCCGACUGGACAAUUUAAACCACUUGCAGUUGCAAUCAGCGUCUGAAAAAACUUAAUAGUUACAACUUUCAACAACGGAUCUCUUGGUUCUGGCAUCGAUGAAGAACGCAGCGAAAUGCGAUAAGUAGUGUGAAUUGCAGAAUUCAGUGAAUCAUCGAAUCUUUGAACGCACAUUGCGCCCCUUGGUAUUCCAUGGGGCAUGCCUGUUCGAGCGUCAUUUGUACCUUCAAGCCUUGCUUGGUGUUGGGUGUUUGUCUCGCCUCUGCGCGUAGACUCGCCUCAAAACAAUUGGCAGCCGGCGUAUUGAUUUCGGAGCGCAGUACAUCUCGCGCUUUGCACUCAGAACGACGACGUCCAAAAGUACAUUUUUACACUCUUGACCUCGGAUCAGGUAGGGAUACCCGCUGAACUUAAGCAUAUCAAUAAGCGGAGGA